rnacentral:rRNA from 3 species
UGGGGAAUAUUGGACAAUGGGCGAAAGCCUGAUCCAGCCAUGCCGCGUGUGUGAAGAAGGUCUUCGGAUUGUAAAGCACUUUAAGUUGGGAGGAAGGGUUGUAGAUUAAUACUCUGCAAUUUUGACGUUACCGACAGAAUAAGCACCGGCUAACUCUGUGCCAGCAGCCGCGGUAAUACAGAGGGUGCAAGCGUUAAUCGGAAUUACUGGGCGUAAAGCGCGCGUAGGUGGUUUGUUAAGUUGGAUGUGAAAUCCCCGGGCUCAACCUGGGAACUGCAUUCAAAACUGACUGACUAGAGUAUGGUAGAGGGUGGUGGAAUUUCCUGUGUAGCGGUGAAAUGCGUAGAUAUAGGAAGGAACACCAGUGGCGAAGGCGACCACCUGGACUAAUACUGACACUGAGGUGCGAAAGCGUGGGGAGCAAACA